AUUUCAGCCUGAGAAAUGGCAUCACUGAACAAACAGCACAGCAGUGGGUGUGUGAUGUUCAGGAGUGGGCAAUCACAGAGCCAGGUAGCACAACACAACAGGGAGCAACAGAGGAUCUCAGGGCUGAGAUAGAAAGUAUCAUAGUGUCCCUGCUACGCAAGAAGCAGGACCUCUAUCGUCAGCAUGAUAGCAACCAGACCAGACAAAGAAAGAGAAGAAAAAUAAGAGAAUUAAAAAACAAACUAAGACAAAAGAUUGUACUCUACAAUACUAUUGCAGAGGAUACGAUUGAUGGGGAAUUGGCUUCCAAUUUGACAGAGGACUACAUC